rnacentral:lncRNA from 1 species
GCACAGGCCGCCGCUGGUUCCCAGCAGGAGCAAUUCAGCUGUCCUGGAACAAGGCCAUCUACACUUGGUUGACUUUUUCUAGGACAGGACCCAUGCUGCUCUGUGCUGCACUGAAGGCUCUGGCAGACUGGAAUGAAAGUUUCUGGCCUCUGAGCCCCAGGGGGACCCAUUUUAGCUGAGCCCCAAGGGGACCCAAUUUGGUUUUGGUUUGUAUGGAGUUUUUGCGUGAAGAGAAGAAAACUGUCUGAAUGAAGCAUACCCCAUGAAGGUGACAAGCAGGUGGCCCUUUCAGAUGGAUGACCAAAAGACAUCUUCUCCAAUCAUUUAGUUAUAAAUAUGCCCCUGCCUGAGGACUUCCCUGGUGGAAAGAAACAACAAGAGAGAUUGGAACCUAUGGGAGAUCCCAAAAUUCCACAUGUACCAAUAGAGGCAGCUGACCAAAAAGGGUAAAGUAACUGGUGACUCACCUCACCCAGUGGGGAAAGUCAGAAGUCAGAAAAAAGCNCAGAGUGGUCCAUGUAAAAACUGGUGGAGAAAUUUGGAGAACAAAUUUCAAAUUGGAUUUCAUUAAGAAGACCUUACAAAAGCUUGUGGAAAGAUGCAAGCUCAAUUCUUGCAUCCGAUUCUCCAUCAAAUAAAUAAAUAAAAUUA